rnacentral:misc_RNA from 1 species
GCCAUUGCCAAUGUUUUUCUCCUCUUUCCUCGCUCUUUCUCAACCGAAUUGCAAUCACAACUGUCCCCUGACCUUAUUAGAAUCAUGGAGAAAAAGUUAUCAGCUAUUGAGCAUAGAAGUGCUUGUCUUGAGAAUUUCAUAAAUCAGCUAGAAGUGUCGCCUACAGAAUAUGCAAGAGCUAAUAAAGAACUACAGAAACUUGGGGGCUUUAUGGACCUUAUAAUUCAAUUGAGGUCUAAACAAAAGGAAAUAGAUGGUUUAAGAUCACUGAUGGCUGAAUGUCCGGAAGAUAAAGACAUGCUUGACAUGGCAAAUGAGGAAUUGAGACAGGCAAUGGAGGAAGAGAA